rnacentral:lncRNA from 1 species
AAAGCAAUAGCCGCUUUAUUAUUGGUAUAGAUAUUAUUUUUAUGUUACAACAACCAAGUCUCAAACCACAUGGGACAUAUUAAGGAGUUGUUCGGUAAUCCUCCGGCUCUCUGAAAUCUGAGGAUCUAGGGAGCAGGCAAGAGUCUCACUUUUUUUUAGGUGAGUACAAUCGAAGUCGCUCACAUACACGAGCGUACACUCACCCCUAUGAACACACACACGCACACCCUAUCCCUAUGAGCACCUUCGAGAGACUAAGCCGGCACAUCAUCUUGAGAUUGACGAAGUCGCCACUGACGCCUUCGUUGUCGACGGGAACGUCCCUCCCACUAAAAGCACUUCGCCGGAAUACCUAGAAUAAAUUCAGGAAAAUGCAAGCACCAACGUCAAGUGUGGGACUUGAACUCUGGUGGAUAGGGGAUAGCACAGUCCUCCUAACCAUCCAACCACGGG